ACAUAUUUUAGUGCUAAGUUCAAUUUGGUUAAGGACCUAAUUUACUUUUAAGUCUAAAAUACGAUUAUUUUAUUUAAUUGUAAAAAUUAUUAUAAUAAAAUUCACCCAUGGCAGACUUUCGUAUUAACAGCACCUUGAUCUAAUUCUUUUUUGUUAAAAGUAAAGAUAAUUUUUUGUUAAAAAUUUCUUAAAACGACGAUAUACAAAUUUAAAAUAACGAAAGAAAAGCUUUCUCGUGGGGUAUCGAUUACAGCACAGGUUUCCCUAAGAAGAUAAAAUACCGUCAAAUUUUUUAGGUUUCA
rnacentral:rRNA from 1 species